UGUGUCUCUUCUUUAGUUACUGGUUAAUACCACUGAUGUUGUUCAACUGGGCCUCCAGUCCAAUGGUCACCGUAGUAGCAGUGAAGUGACUAAGUUACUGAGGACGAUUGAAAUCUCAUUCAGACUGAUCGCCUCCACUGCUGACAGAGAACGUGACCAGGAUAGAGACCAACCACACAGAGGUUGAGAUUAUGGUGAGAAGAGACAAGACUCCACCUGAAGGACCAGUCAGCCUGACCAAUGAGAACACUCAACUUGACACCACCUGGGAGACGGUGGUUGGAGAUGACCAGAAUUACCCAGGGUAUGCAUUUGUCAUUCUGCUCAGCCAUAAGAAUCUGGAUAGUCUGAAGGACAGUACUUCUCAUCAGAGCCAGCAGCUCAUGUCCAG